rnacentral:rRNA from 1 species
GACGAACGCUGGCGGCGUGCUUAACACAUGCAAGUCGAGCGGGAAACUUCGGUUUCCAGCGGCGGACGGGUGAGUAACACGUGGGCAACCUGCCUCACAAUGAGGGAUAGCCCUCCGAAAGGAGGAUUAAUACCUCAUAACACAAGAGAAACGCAUGUUUCUCUUGCCAAAGAAUUUCGUUGUGAGAUGGGCCCGCGGCGCAUUAGCUUGUUGGUGAGGUAACGGCUCACCAAGGCUUCGAUGCGUAGCCGACCUGAGAGGGUGAUCGGCCACAUUGGAACUGAGACACGGUCCAGACUCCUACGGGAGGCAGCAGUGGGGAAUAUUGCACAAUGGAGGAAACUCUGAUGCAGCAACGCCGCGUGAGUGAUGAAGGUCUUCGGAUUGUAAAGCUCUGUCUUCUGGGACGAUAAUGACGGUACCAGAGGAGGAAGCCACGGCUAACUACGUGCCAGCCGCCGCCGUAA